rnacentral:rRNA from 1 species
UACAGGGGGUGCAAACGUUGCUCGGAAUCAUUGGGCGUAAAGCGCACGUAGGCGGUUCGUUAUGUCGGAUGUGAAAGCCCUUGGCUUAACCGAGGAAGUGCAUCCGAAACUGGCGAGCUAGAGUACUAAAGAGGAUCGCGGAAUUCCCGGUGUAGAGGUGAAAUUCGUAGAUAUCGGGAGGAACACCGAUGGCGAAGGCAGCUUGCUGGGACGGUACUGACGCUGAGACGCGAAAGCGUGGGGAGCAAACAGG